rnacentral:rRNA from 1 species
CACCUACGGGGGGCAGCAGCCGCGGUAAUACGUAGGGGGCAAGCGUUAUCCGGAUUUACUGGGUGUAAAGGGAGCGUAGACGGCAGUGCAAGUCUGAAGUGAAAGGCAAGGGCUCAACCCUUGGACUGCUUUGGAAACUGUGCUGCUGGAGUGUCGGAGAGGCAAGUGGAAUUCCUAGUGUAGCGGUGAAAUGCGUAGAUAUUAGGAGGAACACCAGUGGCGAAGGCGGCUUGCUGGACGAUGACUGACGUUGAGGCUCGAAAGCGUGGGGAGCAAACAGGAUUAGAUACCCCGGUAGUCCCAGU